AUUUGACGUGCACCGUACCUCUACACCUGCGAAGGCGUCCGUACGCCAACUGUGCGCCCUUUUUUUCAAACCCUGGCCUUUUUUUCAAGCCUAUUAUGGGGAUUGGGCCAAUCUCUCUCUCGUUACUCUCACUGCAAGUAAAGCCCUGCAUCAAAAGCCACUCGCAGCGUAAAAACUCAGAGAAGAAAAUCACUCGCAGAGAAGAAAUUUCAGAGAAGAAAACCAAAUUAGAGAAGAAAACCAAAUUAGAGAAGAAAACCAAAUCAGACCCUCAAGCUCACCACUCCUAGCUGUAAGUUACGCUUUGUUUUGGAAGUUGUGCUGUGGUCUCCAAAUACCCCGGUGACUGAGCCCAAGUCUUGAAUCACAAAUUACUGGGAAACACCAGUUGAACCCUACACCUACCUACUUGUUACCUGAAAAUUCUAAAUUCAAAGAGAGUAGAGGAGACAUCAGAUGAAAAUGCAGAGAGCGUAAUGGCAGGGAGGAAGAGAUUGUUCCCUUGAAAUCCUUAUUCUUGAAGAACUUUCAUGCCCCAAAAAUAAGAGGUCAGUAAAUAAGAUGGAUGAGGUUCCUACCCCUGAAUUUCUCAUUCGUGAAGGUCUUUCAUACCCAAACAGGAAGAGAUCGGCAUCCAAAGGUGGAAGGAAGAGAUGCGAACAGAAGAGAUCAACAGGGACCGAGACCUUUAUAUAUGUUAUGAUAUUAUGGAACGAAUUUUAUUGGGACUCCCUGUAAAAGCCCUUGGGAGGUUCAGAUGUGUUUCUAAGCGAUGGAAUGAAGUCCUCUCCUCUCUCUCCUUUGUACGAACCCAUUAUCUUACACCUCCCUCACCAUCCACUCCUUUGCUUUUGUUGUUACCAUACCAGAUUCUACACCGUCUUUGCUAUAUCUUCUUUCUCUUACCUUCUAAACUCAACUGAAACCCUCCCAUCGUUUGAGUCAUGGAGUCUGGCGUGCAUCAUGGUAUGCUACUUGAUUACAAGUUCUACUUUGGCUUUGACAUUGUUAACCCUAUCACCCUUGAUUCUAUGAGUAUGGAGAAGACUUUCCAGUUCGAGAGUGGUUUCAUGUUUGGAUUCUAUUACAACCCUGUGAGCACCACUUUUUAUAUAUUGACGUACUCACUCUAUUGGUUCCUAUACUUAUCAAGCACUGGAAAGUGGAUGCAAGUGAGGUCUCCUCGCUGCCGUCGAUGCUCUCUCACUCUCUUCUACACUGUUUUCACGUGCGUGCUCGGAAAAUUCUACAAUGUGUUCUGUGCAGAAGAAUCUGGAGGGUAUAGCAUUGAGGUUUUUGACACAGCCAUAGGGGAGUGGGAGGAACGCCUUCCAUUGCCCACAGGAAUCCCACGCCCUGAUAACUCCGAUUUUGGGUUUAGUUUCCUUGAGUGGGAGGGGCAGAUAUGUAUUGUUCAUGGCUGGUUUCAUCAGGGAGAUAGAAAAGAAUGCAGAUUGGGAAUAUGGGCUUUGAGGCCAAAGGAGAAGAGGUGGGAGAAAGUGAUAGAAAUGGGCCUUGGGAAAAAGUUGAAAAGUUUUGAGAGGGUUCUGUGGAUCGCAAAAUGCCGAUGAUAAUGCAUGGCGAGUUUCUCUUUAUUUGCCGGCAAGGGACCAUCGUGUUAUUCAAUUUGAGGAGCGGACAGAGAAGUGAAGUGAAGUGGAACACCAGAAAGUAUGGGCGUUUACUCCGGCUGCUUCUUUACAAACCCUCACUGCAUAGCUCAACACAUCGCAUACCUUGAUGUGUUAGCAACAUGUCAUAUGUGUUUUCUGUUUCCUCAUUUUAUUUUUGUUUAUCCCUCCUUUUGAGGGAUCUGAUUCGAGUUGAAUUUUUUAUAGAGCUAAACUAAGUUAAUUUUGAGGAAA